AUUGAACGCUGGCGGCAGGCCUAACACAUGCAAGUCGAGCGGAGCGGCGGACGGGUGAGUAAUGUAUGGGGAUCUGCCCGAUAGAGGGGGAUAACUACUGGAAACGGUGGCUAAUAACGCAUACUAGCGGAUGAACCCAUAUGGGAUUAGCUAGUAGGUGGGGUAAAGGCUCACCUAGGCGACGAUCUCUAGGUGGUCUGAGAGGAUGAUCAGUCACACUGUAACUGAGCAACGGUCGAGACUCCUACGGGAGGCAGCAGUGGGGAAUAUUGGACAAGGGGCGAAAGCCUGAUCCAGCCAUGCCGCGUGUGUGAAGAAGGUCUUCGGAUUGUAAAGCACUUUAAGUUGGGAGGCGUUACCAACAGAAUAAGCACCGGCUAACUCCGUGCCAGCAGCCGCGGUAAUAC
rnacentral:rRNA from 1 species